ACCUGGCUCAGGAUGAACGCUGGCGGCGUGCCUAAUACAUGCAAGUCGAGCGAAUGGAUUAAGAGCUUGCUCUUAUGAAGUUAGCGGCGGACGGGUGAGUAACACGUGGGUAACCUGCCCAUAAGACUGGGAUAACUCCGGGAAACCGGGGCUAAUACCGGAUAACAUUUUGAACCGCAUGGUUCGAAAUUGAAAGGCGGCUUCGGCUGUCACUUAUGGAUGGACCCGCGUCGCAUUAGCUAGUUGGUGAGGUAACGGCUCACCAAGGCAACGAUGCGUAGCCGACCUGAGAGGGUGAUCGGCCACACUGGGACUGAGACACGGCCCAGACUCCUACGGGAGGCAGCAGUAGGGAAUCUUCCGCAAUGGACGAAAGUCUGACGGAGCAACGCCGCGUGAGUGAUGAAGGCUUUCGGGUCGUAAAACUCUGUUGUUAGGGAAGAACAAGUGCUAGUUGAAUAAGCUGGCACCUUGACGGUACCUAACCAGAAAGCCACGGCUAACUACGUGCCAGCAGCCGCGGUAAUACGUAGGUGGCAAGCGUUAUCCGGAAUUAUUGGGCGUAAAGCGCGCGCAGGUGGUUUCUUAAGUCUGAUGUGAAAGCCCACGGCUCAACCGUGGAGGGUCAUUGGAAACUGGGAGACU
rnacentral:rRNA from 1 species